rnacentral:lncRNA from 1 species
UAGACACCAGCCCUCCAAAGUGUUUUAUCAAUGGGAGAAGAAAGGAAGAACAUUAAUUAAUCUACUAAGUUGCUUAGGUAGAGGCUACUUAGGCAUUUCUACUGUAAUUAUGUCAGUGCUCUCUACUUCUUCAAGUUAGGUGUCUUCCCAAUAUAACGAACCAAACACACCUACUCAAAAUACCUUUCAAAAUAUUAGCCCAAGGAACUACGAAAAUGAGGGGUAAAAAUGGCUUUGUGGAGAAAAUGAUCCAGACAUUGCCCGUGGCUUCACCAGUGACCUGGUUUCUGUCUUUAUUUCUUUUCUGCAUCCUGCAGGGCUGCCUCCAUGCUCAGGUUCUUCCUUUCACACAUCCAGGCCCUUCCCCCCACCCCUGUUGUCCAGUAUUUCCAGCCUUUCCCCUUAUAGGGCCACAAAAUUGCCAUAGCACUUACAGUCAUACAGCUCUUUUUGGAGGGCCAGGAAGUAGAAAUCACCCUUUAA